UACGGGGGGGUAAGCGUUGUUCGGAAUUACUGGGCGUAAAGGGCUCGUAGGCGGCCAACUAAGUCAUACGUGAAAUCCCUCAGCUUAACUGGGGAACUGCGUGUGAUACUGGAUGGCUUGGAUUUGGGAGAGGGAUGCGGAAUUCCAGGUGUAGCGGUGAAAUGCGUAGAUAUCUGGAGGAACACCGGUGGCGAAGGCGGCAUCCUGGACCAAUAUUGACGCUGAGGAGCGAAAGCCAGGGGAGCAAACGGG
rnacentral:rRNA from 1 species